rnacentral:lncRNA from 1 species
GCCCCUCCCCCGCCCGUGGCCCGCGGGGAACCGGGACCCGCUCCUCCGCCCGCCGCAGCUCUCCUCGACUUGGCCCCGCGCCGCCGCGGAGCCCCGCUCGCGUCCUGGCUGAGGCCGGCGCGGAUCCCGGAGCUCCGGGCGCGCCCCCUGCCCGUGGGCGAAGUUUGCCCCGUGCAGCCUGAGGCGGGGCGUCGGGGUCCAGGAGCGAAACCUUGAUUCUCGGCCGGGCUAGUGUGAAGACUGCCAGGAGUGUGGAUGCAGCCGCCGGGAGUGUGGGUGCAGCCGCCGGGAGUGUGGGUGCAGUCCCUCGCAGCCCGCUUUGGUCGCUGAGUCCGGACCCGCCACGCCAGGAGGCGGCAGAUGACAAAAAGAGGCUGUUGACCUCAGUUCUGAAGAAGACAAAUUGGUAGCCAAACCAGUUUUAGAACACAAACGUCCCCAAAUCUUAAAAAGUCACUUUGUGGGAUCAUUAGCAU